rnacentral:rRNA from 1 species
CCUACGGGGGGCUGCAGUGAGGAAUAUUGGGCAAUGCCCGCAAGGGUGACCCAGCAACGCCGCGUGAAGGAUGAAGGUCGUAAGAUUGUAAACUUCUUUUUAAGGGGACGAAAAAAUGAAGUAACACUCCAUAUUGACUGUACCCUCAGAAUAAGCCCCGGCUAACUACGUGCCAGCAGCCGCGGUAAUACGUAGGGGGCAAGCGUUGUCCGGAUUUACUGGGUGUAAAGGGCGCGUAGGCGGUUGGUGGUGAAAUCCUGCAGCUUAACUGCAGAACUGCCGUCGAUACUGUGGAUCUUGAGUUCGGAAGAGAGUAGCGGAAUUCCAGGUGCAGUAGUGAAAUACGUAGAUAUCGGAAGAACACCAGUGGCGAAGGCGGCUACUUGGUCCGUAUCUGACGCUGAGGCGCGAAAGCGUGGGGAGCAAACAGGAUUAGAUACCCCUGUAGUC